rnacentral:rRNA from 1 species
GAUGAACGCUGGCGGCGUGCCUAAUACAUGCAAGUCGAGCGAACAGAUGAGGCGCUUGCUCCUCUGACGUUAGCGGCGGACGGGUGAGUAACACGUGUAUCACCUACCUAUAAGACUGGGAUCACUUCGGGAAACCGGCGCUAAUCCCGGAUAAUAUAUUGAACCGCAUGGUUCGAUAGUGAAAGACGGUUUUGCUGUCACUUCUCGAUGGAUCCGCGCCGCAUUAGCUAGUUGGUAAGGUAACGGCUUACCAAGGCAACGAUGCGUAGCCGACCUAAGAGGGGGAUCGGCCACACUGGAACGGAGACACGGUCCAGACUCCUACGGGAGGCAGCAGUAGGGAAUCUGACGCAAUGGGCGAAAGCCUGACGGAGCAACGCGGCGUGAGUGAUGAAGGUCUUCGGAUCGUAAAACUCGGUUAUUAGUGAAGAACAAAUGUGUAAGUAACUAUGCACGGAGUGACGGUACCUAAUCAGAAAGCCACGGCUAACUACGUG